rnacentral:rRNA from 1 species
ACGGGAGGCAGCAGUGGGGAAUAUUGGGCAAUGGGCGAAAGCCUGACCCAGCAACGCCGCGUGAAGGAAGAAGGCCUUCGGGUUGUAAACUUCUUUUGUCAGGGACGAAGGACGUGACGGUACCUGACGAAUAAGCAACGGCUAACUACGUGCCAGCAGCCGCGGUAAUACGUAGGUUGCAAGCGUUGUCCGGAUUUACUGGGUGUAAAGGGCGUGUAGGCGGAGCUGCAAGUCAGAUGUGAAAUCCCGGGGCUCAACCCCGGAACUGCAUUUGAAACCGUAGCCCUUGAGUAUCGGAGAGGCAAGCGGAAUUCCUAGUGUAGCGGUGAAAUGCGUAGAUAUUAGGAGGAACACCAGUGGCGAAGGCGGCCUGCUGGACUGUAACUGACGUCGAGGCUCGAAAGCGUGGGGAGCAAACAGGAUUAGAUACCCUGGUA